GGCCCUCCUUGAGGUCUCACCUGUGCCCUAGGUGAGCUCUUGGUACCUUGGCGACAAGAAGGUGAGCCCAGGAACAAGGUCUCAGUCCGAGGGCAGGGUGGCUUUCCGCAAGGGUCUGCU
rnacentral:precursor_RNA from 7 species